rnacentral:rRNA from 1 species
UACGUAGGGACCAAGCGUUGUCCGGAAUCACUGGGCGUAAAGGGCGCGUAGGCGGCCUGAUAAGUAGGGGGUGAAAUCCUGCGGCUUAACCGCAGGGCUGCCUUCUAAACUGUCGGGCUCGAGCACGGUAGAGGCAGAUGGAAUUCCCGGUGUAGCGGUGGAAUGCGUAGAGAUCGGGAAGAACAUCAGUGGCGAAGGCGGUCUGCUGGGCCGUUGCUGACGCUGAGGCGCGACAGCGUGGGGAGCAAACAGG